rnacentral:rRNA from 1 species
UACGUAGGGACCGAGCGUUGUCCGGAAUCAUUGGGCGUAAAGAGCGUGUAGGCGGCUUGUUAAGUCUUGCGUGAAAUCUCGGGGCUCAACCCCGAGCGGUCGUGAGAAACUGGCAGGCUAGAGUGCGGGAGAGGAGAGUGGAAUUCCUAGUGUAGCGGUGAAAUGCGCAGAUAUCAGGAGGAACACCGGUGGCGAAGGCGGGUCUCUGGGCAAUAACUGACGCUGAGGAGCGAAAGCGUGGGGAGCGAACAGG